CCUACGGGGAGCAGCAGGCGCGAAAACUUUACAAUGCGGGAAACCGUGAUAAGGGGACACCGAGUGCCAGCAUCAUAUGUUGGCUGUCUCAGAUGUGUAAAAUACAUCUGUUAGCAAGGGCCGGGCAAGACCGGUGCCAGCCGCCGCGGUAACACCGGCGGCCCGAGUGGUGAUCGUGAUUAUUGGGUCUAAAGGGUCCGUAGCCGGUUUGGUCAGUCCUCCGGGAAAUCUGACGGCUCAACCGUUAGGCUUUCGGUGGAUACUGCCAGACUUGGAACCGGGAGAGGUAAGAGGUACUACAGGGGUAGGAGUGAAAUCUUGUAAUCCCUGUGAGACCACCUGUGGCGAAGGCGUCUUACCAGAACGGGUUCGACGGUGAGGGACGAAAGCUGGGGGCACGAACCGGAUUAGAUACCCGGGUAGUCCCAGCCGUAAACGAUGCUCGCUAGGUGUCGGGCAUGGCGCGACCUGUGUCUGGUGCCGCAGGGAAGCCGUGUAAGCGAGCCACCUGGGAAGUACGGCCGCAAGGCUGAAACUUAAAGGAAUUGGCGGGGGAGCACA
rnacentral:rRNA from 1 species